rnacentral:rRNA from 1 species
AGUGAACGCUGGCGGUAGGCCUAACACAUGCAAGUCGAACGGCAGCACAGUAAUAGCUUGCUCUUACGGGUGGCGAGUGGCGGACGGGUGAGGAAUACAUCGGAGUCUACUUUUUCGUGGGGGAGAACGUAGGGAAACUUACGCUAAUACCGCAUACGACCUACGGGUGAAAGCAGCGGAUCUUCGGACCUUGCGCGAUUGAAUGAGCCGAUGUCGGAUUAGCUAGUUGGCGGGGUAAAGGCCCACCAAGGCGACGAUCCGUAGCUGGUCUGAGAGGAUGAUCAGCCACACUGGAACUGAGACACGGUCCAGACUCCUACGGGAGGCAGCAGUGGGGAAUAUUGGACAAUGGGCGCAAGCCUGAUCCAGCCAUACCGCGUGGGUGAAGAAGGCCUUCGGGUUGUAAAGCACUUUUGUUGGGAAAGAAAAGCAGCAGGUUAAUACCCCGCUGUUCUGACGGUACCCAAAGAAUAAGCACCGGCUAACUUCGUG